GCACUCAUAAACUGAAAGAAGCCAGACCAGUUGACAAUGUUUGCAAUCCUGCACCAGUGGUCCUUUUCUUUUUCGUUUUUUCAUUGUUUCUCUGUCUCUGCUUUUGAGCAAGGUUCUUGAACACUACUUAGUACCUCAAGGAGCAUGUGUAUCAAGAAACAAAAUAUCUUUUUAGUACUCAGAAUUAAGGAACUGAAAACAACUCCUUACUAGGCUUGUAUUUCCUAUCACUAGCUACACUACAUCAAGACAGAUGUUACACUGAGAUAUAAGCCAAGCUUCUCAUGUGGUGAAGCUACUUAGAGGAUCUCUAACCUCUCAAAGAAAAUGGUAUGGUACUUUCUAUGGUAUCUGUCAGGGCAGUGCUAACAGCUAGCUGGUUCCUUCAUUGCUCAGUUCAGUUCAAUAGUAUACCUCUGCCAACAAGCAGGUUGUCAGUAAGAACAGUCUAUUUAGUUUCUGACAUCUUUUAGGGCUUGGGACAAUAUGCAGAGUUUUUUCAAAGCAUAAGUGCUAGGUUUUAUUGAAGUGGUAUGACAUGCACUGUUAUGCACCAGUAAGAGUUAAACUCUUUCAAUCACUUGGCACAUUUUGUCUGGCUAUGUUAAAUGGAUCACUGAUUUUCCAGUGGGCACAAAACCAGACAAACAUAUGGGCAACAUUUAUAGGCAAUCAGUACAUUUACACUUAAUUUGAGUAUCUCAGCUGACUAAUGAGGGACAGACUUAAAGCCAGAGCUUUCCAAGCUGUUGUCCAUACUGAGAUCACAAACUGAUGCUUCAGAAGACUUGUCCUUUAUGAAUCUAUUGGCCAAUGCAAUUUAAAACCAACCAUGUGUUCAUAUGCUUCUUGUUGUCACGGUUCUUAUGCUUCUGACUCAUUAGUGUUUUAGUCUACCCAAGGACUAGGCUUUGGACAUGAACUUCUCAUUCGUCCUCAAUUAACUGUGCUUUGUCAUACAGUGGUCUCAGUGCACACAAAUCCAAUCACUUUUGAAAGAAGCUGAAACAGAAAAUGUGCUCACCUAAUUCUCUCCACAAGUCCAAAAAGUAGCAAGCUUCUCCCUCCAAACAAGUAUAUAGUUUGCAGCCAGGUCUCAAUACUCUUUCACUCUGGGGUUAUCUGUGUUGCUUGCUAAUGUAUUAUUACCCUUAAUUCAGGUAUACCAUAAAAUAUGAGUGAAAAAGACAGAAUUUUUCCUUUUUAAGUUUUGGAAUCUGAAAAGGGUUUGGAUUUCUGAUGUCUUGUGCUCUGAUCAACACAUAGUAAAGCAUUUAUGCAAUAUAUCAAGCCUUUGCCUUAGCAUAAAAUUUUCAUGAAUUAUUAAAAAUGUUAGUAGAGAAUUCUAAAUAAGCUUUCUUUUUUUAUAACAGAUCCUAAAGGUGAUGAAGAUGCCUUACUAUUUUAAAGCCGUGGCAUCAUGUCUCAAGGAAGAAAAUGUAUAUGUAAUUGCUGCUUCAGAAAUCUUCUAGUUAACCACUAGUUCUGACAGGCGUAUGUGCAGGUGAGUCCUUGCUUAGGGCUUCAGCACCCCUUACAAAACGUGUUUCAAGGCAGGACUUGAAGUAAUGUGGGAGAGUAAUGAGGAAAUAUUUAAAGUCUAUCAUGAUUAUUUUGAAAGGAAACUUUGGUCAAGGGUUUUGAUUUCAGUCCAGCCACAUCUGGCAUAAUCUUGCAUUUUCAAAAUUUCAUAACAAACCUGCAAAAAUCAAUUAAUAUGAUUACUUACUAAAUGAAUGAAAUGUUUUCCCACUGCUUUCAGAGUCAAUUUUCCUGUAAAAGGAUAAACUAUUAGAGUAAUUUGAAAAUUACUUUUUCUGGGAAAUAGCAUAUUUCAGAAUUUUUUGUUAUGCAAAUAAAACAGAUUCUAUGCAAACACAGUAUAUCUUUAAUAUCAUUUGGCUUUUUUUUUUUUUUCUCUCUGAAAGAGGAUAGUUAAGCAACAAAAACAACAACUGACUCUUACAAGAAGUAACUCCGUGCCUAGUAGUACAAGACCUGGUAAAUUGUCAUGCCUGUUCUUC
ensembl:lncRNA